rnacentral:rRNA from 1 species
GACGAACGCUGGCGGCGUGCUUAACACAUGCAAGUCGAACGGAAAGGCCCUGCUUUUGUGGGGUGCUCGAGUGGCGAACGGGUGAGUAACACGUGAGUAACCUGCCCUUGACUUUGGGAUAACUUCAGGAAACUGGGGCUAAUACCGGAUAGGAGCUCCUGCUGCAUGGUGGGGGUUGGAAAGUUUCGGCGGUUGGGGAUGGACUCGCGGCUUAUCAGCUUGUUGGUGGGGUAGUGGCUUACCAAGGCUUUGGCGGGUAGCCGGCCUGAGAGGGGGACCGGCCACAUUGGGACUGAGAUACGGCCCAGACUCCUACGGGAGGCAGCAGUGGGGAAUAUUGCACAAUGGGCGGAAGCCUGAUGCAGCAACGCCGCGUGCGGGAUGACGGCCUUCGGGUUGUAAACCGCUUUCGCCUGUGACGAAGCGUGAGUGACGGUAAUGGGUAAAGAAGCACCGGCUAACUACGUG